UACGUAGGGGGCAAGCGUUGUCCGGAAUCAUUGGGCGUAAAGAGCGCGUAGGCGGCCCGGUAAGUCCGCUGUGAAAGUCAAAGGCUCAACCUUUGAAUGUCAGCGGAUACUGCCGGGCUAGAGUCCGGAAGAGGCGAGUGGAACUCCUGGUGUAGCGGUGGAAUGCGCAGAUAUCAGGAAGAACACCAAUGGCGAAGGCAGCUCUCUGGGACGGUACUGACGCUGAGACGCGAAAGCGUGGGGAGCGAAGCAGG
rnacentral:rRNA from 1 species